GAGAUCAGUAAAUCUUCUGUGCCACUCCAUGAAAUGGGUCUGGUCAUGAUCCACAUCAUACAGACGGGGAACCCAGGGAGGUUGUGUAACUUGCUUUUGCAGCUCAGUAAGACCUGCCAAAGCCAGUUGAUUCUGGGGGGCAAAGAUUUAAGCUACUAGACAUGGCAUGCUUUAUUUGGCUGUGGUUAAUUUCUUGUCUUGCCUGGUUAUUAAAUAGAAACACCAUGGCAGGCAGAAUUCUACAGUGACUCCCAAGAUUUCCACCCUCUCACAUCCACGCCCUGUGGAAUCCCCUCCCUUAGGUGAGGGAGAAACCCAUGAAUACGACGGAACAGCACUUUCAUAAUUUGAUCAAAACUUGGCUGACUUUGAACUGAUUAAAAAAGACUAUCCAGGAAGGCCUGACGUACUCAAUGAUGCCAAACAGUCACUGCAGAUGAAUUUGCUGCACGGAGCUGUCUGGGAUGCCUCAGACCUGCCAGUGGUAGAGCUGCCUGCCUUGCUUCCUCUUGCUU
rnacentral:lncRNA from 1 species